GGGAUAUUGCACAAUGGGGGGAACCCUGAUGCAGCGACGCCGCGUGGGUGAAGAAGCGCCUCGGCGCGUAAAGCCCUGUCAGCAGGGAAGAAAAUGACGGUACCUGAAGAAGAAGCCCCGGCUAACUACGUGCCAGCAGCCGCGGUAAUACGGAGGAUGCGAGCGUUAUCCGGAUUUACUGGGUGUAAAGGGAGCGUAGACGGUAAUGCAAGUCUGGAGUGAAAUGCAGGGGCUCAACCCCUGAACUGCUUUGGAAACUGUAUGACUGGAGUGCAGGAGAGGUAAGUGGAAUUCCUAGUGUAGCGGUGAAAUGCGUAGAUAUUAGGAGGAACACCAGUGGCGAAGGCGGCUUACUGGACUGUAACUGACGUUGAGGCUCGAAAGCGUGGGGAGCGAACA
rnacentral:rRNA from 1 species